rnacentral:pre_miRNA from 1 species
CACAUACUCCCUCCGUCUUAAAAAUUUUGUCUUAGAUUUGUCUAGAUGUGAAUGUAUCUAGUCACGUUUUAAUAUUUUGAUACAUUCAUUUCUAGACAAACCUAAGACAAGAAUUUUGGGACGGAGGGAGUAUACA